AUAGCGUAUAUUAAAGUUGUUGCAGUUAAAAAGCUCGUAGUUGAACUUCGAACGUGGCUGGGCGGUCCGCCUCACGGUGUGUACUGUCUGGCUGUGUUCUCUUUCUUGGUGAGCCGGCAUGCCCUUCACUGGGUGUGUUGGGGAACCAGGACGUUUACCUUGAGAAAAUUAGAGUGUUCAAAGCAGGCCUACGCCCGAAUACAUUAGCAUGGCAUAAUAAAAUAGGACGUGUGGUUCUAUUUUGUUGGUUUCUAGAGCCGCAGUAAUGAUUAAUAGGGAUAGUUGGGGGCAUUCGUAUUCCGGCGCUAGAGGUGAAAUUCUUGGACCGCCGGAAGACGGACGACUG
rnacentral:rRNA from 1 species